rnacentral:rRNA from 1 species
GACGAACGCUGGCGGCGUGCUUAACACAUGCAAGUCGAACGAGAAUCUGUGGAAAGAGGAUUCGUCCAAUUGAAGCAGAGGACAGUGGCGGACGGGUGAGUAACGCGUGAGGAACCUGCCUUUCAGAGGGGGACAACAGUUGGAAACGACUGCUAAUACCGCAUGACACAUCGGGGUCGCAUGGCUCUGAUGUCAAAGAUUUAUCGCUGAAGGAUGGCCUCGCGUCUGAUUAGCUAGUUGGUGAGGUAACGGCCCACCAAGGCGACGAUCAGUAGCCGGACUGAGAGGUUGAACGGCCACAUUGGGACUGAGAUACGGCCCAG